CUCUUGUAAAUGAAGAAAUUAAAACUGCAAGUUGAAACUGAGUCACUGAUGGUACCAGAUGUUUCUGGAGCAAAACUGGGAAAGAGGGUGAGCAUUGGAAAGACACCUCCUCCUGUUAUCUUCGAGAAGCCAUUUACUGGGAAAACAAAAACUGAGCUUCGUGAUGCAUAAAUUCCAAAAUGCAGAGGCAAAUUUCUUUCCCUUUGACCACAUGUCGGAAAGGCUCGGGGUUCAGUAACUGGAGUAAAUCUUGCUGCUGUUCGCGCUUUGGGUCCGCACUACCUUUAAGAGCUGUAACAUUGACUGUGAAGGUCUGCGGCUUCACUCCUAAAGUCAGCAAGACCACGAACCCACCGGAAGGGAGAAACUCCGGACACACCAUCUUUAAGACUGUAACACUCACCUCGAGGGUCUGUGGCUUCAUUUCUUGAAGUCAGAAAGACCAAGAACCCACCAAUUCCGGACACAAUAGAAUCCAAGUUCUGCCAAGUGUGGUAACACCCAGCUCACAAAUGACUGCGACUCUUAUCUUCGAGGUGACUCAUCCUGGCAGCAGAAUGAGCUCCGGCCAAAGGCACAGUGACAUCCUAAAGCCCGCCCUCACUGUCUCUCUCCAUCUCAUGUUUAGCCAGAAAAGGCAAAAGCCAGUCCUUUCGUGAAAUCAAACAGCUUGCUUUAUUCCAGAAAGAAUUUGAGGCAACUUCAUCAGAAGUGAAAGUUUUAAUUUUGGGUUCCAAAGAAAACAUUUCAAAAUGUGUUGCCAAAUCUUCGCUCAUCAUAAUUUGGAAUUGGACAACAUUCCUGAGCACGUGUCCCAGGCAAGGUGGGCCAUGGAGGGACCAUAACGCAUGACCAUGCCCUUCAGCUGCUUUGAGUGUAGCGGAGGAAAAGCCAUAUACCCGGGGGGACAGCAGUUCAUGGGGAAUGAAGAGAUUCAGCCAAGAAACACCUAUUGCAGUAAAAGCAAAGAGGAAGAACGAACAUUUCAUCUGACCAUGUCUUAUUUUUUGCUUGUCCCCAUUGUGCUGGUCAUUCAGCAAGCACUUGAUAUUUUUCCAUGAGAUUUUAUUGACACGGGAAAUUAGGUGCCACUAAGACAAAGAUUUAUUUUCUUGGUGUCUAUGCAAACUACCUACUUCAGUUGCCCAUUUUGCUAGAAGUCAAUUGGGCAGAAAUGAACAUAUUUCGGGCAUUAUUUUGAUUCUUUUUUAUUGUAAACCAUAGUAAGCACCAAUGACAUGUCAGGCUAUGGGCUAGGUGCUAGACUGGUGUUAAAAAGAUCUCAGUCUAGGGUAGACAAAGAGAUGAUCAUAACACAGUGUGGUAAGAGUAGUGACUGAGGUCAAUGCCUGAGGUGCUGUGGGGGGAAAGAAGAGUAUGCUUAACCUGGAGUGGGGCUUCAAGGAAGCUUCCUUAAAAACCCGUGGGGCUGGCUGGGCAUAGUGGCUCAUGCCUGUAAUCCCAGCACUUUGGGAGGCUGAGGUGGGCGGAUCACGAGGUCAAGAGACCGAGACCAUCCUGGCCAACAUGGUGAAACCCAGUCUCUACCAAAAAUACAAAAAUUAGCUGGGCAUGGUGGCGCGCGCCUGUCAUCCCAACUACUCAGGAAGCUGAGGCAGGAGAAUUGCUUGAACCCGGGAGGCAGAGGCUACAGUGAGCUCAGAUCACACCAUUUCACUCCAGCCUGGCGACGAGCAAGACUCUGUCUCAACAAACAAACAACAACAAAAGUGGGACUUAGCUGAGAGAAGAAAGUGGAAGGCGAUGGGAAGGAUGUUCCAGAUAUAGAGAACCCUCUAGAACCCAGACCUCAGGCCAUGAGAGGGCUCAGCAUGUUUGGAAAACCAUGAGUCAUUCUGUCUGGUUUUGGCAUGGAGUGUGCGGGAUUAUGGAGAAAUUGAGAUGAAAAGCCGGAGAGGUUAGGCAUGUACUAGAUCAUGAGUGACUAUGAGUUGUACAAAGAAGUUCAGGUUUUAUUUCAAAUGCAACAGGGAAGCAGACACUACAGGAUUUUUAGGCAAGAGAGUGACACGAUCAAAUAUGCAUUCUAGAGAGAUCUCUCUGGGCAUGAUGCAAAGAGUGGCUGAAAAAGGGAAACGCUGGUGGCAGGGAGACGAGUUAGGGGACUGUGACACUGCAGCGGGAAGAUGUCAGACCUGGAUUAUGACAGUGGGAAUGGGGAGGAUGAAUGAUGCAAUCUGAUUGCAGAAAUAUCUGUGAAAACCGUAGAAACUACUCAAGAAGGAAGCCAGCCAUGGGCCUUUUGGUUUUUCAUUGAAACGACUCUUUGCCAGUAUCUGCAUUUCAUCAACCUUUGCUGCUAGAAUCUAAUUUUUUUCACGGGGUUUGAGAACACUCUCAUAGAUGCAAGAAAAAAACCCACCCCUAAGGAUGACUUCAAACAAAUCAAAGCUUUUUCUUUUAAGUGCAUCCAUCAAAAGCGGAACCUUUUCACCCCAGGCUUUUAGCAGGAAGAUUUUUCUCUAUGUUUUCUUAAUGAGCAGGGGUAAGGUGAUGGCAAUUUUGCAGCUCAGAUCUACUUGAAAUUGCUCCUUCAAAGAGCCAAGGAUCCUGGUCACUGGCCUAAAACUAUACGACAGUGGUUCUCAAGCCUGCUGUACCUGGGUCACCUGAAGGGCUUUUAAUACCCUCAAUGGGCAGGCCACACCCGUGGUCAAGCACUUCAGAGAGCGCCUCUGGGGACUGAGCCCAGGCAUCAGUGUUUGUUAAAACUUCCGGGUGGGUUGGGCAUGGUGGCUCACGUCUGUAAUCCUAGCACUUCAGGAGGCCGAGGUGGGCAGAUCAUCUGAGGUCAGGAGUUCGAGACCAGCCUGGCCAACAUGGCAAAACCCUGUCACUACUAAAAAUACAAAAAUUAGCCAGGCGUGGUGGCACAUGCCUGUAAUUCCAGUUACUUGGGAGGCUGAGGCAGGAGAAUCACUUGAACCCAGGAGGCGGAGGUUGCAGUGAGCUGAGAUCCAGCCCUUCACUCCAGCCUGGGCAACAGAGUGAUACUCCAUCUC